GCCUGGUUUUCGGCUGCUGAUGUGCAACCGUUUAAAAAUUAUGCCAUCGAAAAGUAAUGGCGUCGGAUGAAUGUUUAGCUAUGUAUCAUUUAUUAAACCUAACACAUCAUCGUAAUUCAAUUCAAAGAAAAAUGUUUCGAAGCAGACUGGAUGUGUUUGCAUUAUCUGACAAGCAGUUUAUAAAGUUAUUUAGGGUAGAUAAACAGUUGUAUUCUGAACUAAUAGCUAAUGUCCGAAGACUCUUACUUUUUUAUGGAUUGCCGCAUGAGCUAAGAGAAAGGGAUCUUGGCGAAAUUCCAGAACACUUUGUGUAAUAAGGUAUCAAGAAAUUUCGAAACCUAAGGAACUACUUCCAGUAUCCCAGGAAAUUGACGAAAAUCUCGAAAAAGGAAAAGAAGUUCGUAGAGAAACCCCAGUUUGGUAUCUUCCUUGUAUAUACGGAAAUGAAAAUAUGCAGAACAACACUUAUCGUAACGCAUAAAAAUCACGUAAAGUAAGACAUUUACUAAACAGCGCAACAAUUAAAUGAAAAUAAUGUCAAAUAUUAUCAAAAUAAGGAUAAGAAUUAAAUACAUCACUGUUUCCUUUUGCAAAAAUACAUUAUAAUGAUUCUUAUGAGUUUUGGAUGCCGACUGACGUUGAUUAUAAAUAGAGAACAUUUUCAUAAUGUUGUAUCGUUUUACAGUUGAACUUCCCAUGGAUGCUAUCAUAUAUAAGAAACAGUAAACUUAGACUUAGUCAGCUGAUCAAUGUUAAAAGGAUUCUCAUUUUGCCCCCUUUCCUCCAAAGGGAAGGCAUGGAAGAAUUUUUCUGAGGGAAAAAUGAGCGUUCGUUGCUUAGUACAGACUGCGUCGCAAUUUACUAUUACGUUUUAUUUCAAGCAAAAGCGAGUUUUCUGCUCCAAAGUUUACAUUUAGUUUAAAGUACUAUACAUAUGUAUUAGCUGUACAUUUAUAUUGAAAAUGUUUCACAACGUUUUUUCAGAAAAUUGUAUAUAAUGAAACUUUUGAUUAAUUCCAUGGUCUGAUUAAUUUUGUUAACUUUGUAAAAGUUGCGUAAAUUUGGAAUAUGUUAUAAAUUUUAAUAAUAAAAUAAUUGAUCAAUCUUAGUUUAA